rnacentral:rRNA from 1 species
UCGAAUCCUGCACAGCAGAACGACCCGCGAACUCGUUUACCAACCCCCGAGCGGCGGGACUUCCCCCACCCUCGGGGUAGCUGGAACGUGUCGAGAGGCGCGCAACAGCAAUUAACCAAACACCGGCGCGGAUUGCGCCAAGGACUAUGAAAUUCUACCGCAUCUCGCGGCCCUGGGCAACCGGGCGCAUUGAUGAUUGCGUGUCGAAAGAUAUAACUGAACGACUCUCGGCAACGGAUAUCUCGGCUCUCGCAUCGAUGAAGAACGUAGCGAAAUGCGAUACUUGGUGUGAAUUGCAGAAUCCCGUGAACCAUCGAGUCUUUGAACGCAAGUUGCGCCCGAAGCCAUCCGGCCGAGGGCACGUCUGCCUGGGCGUCACGCAUCGCGUCGCCCCCUCCCCGUCUAAUCUGGAGCAGUGGGAGGGGCGGAGUAUGGCCCCCCGUGUGCCUACGUGCACGGCCGGCCUAAACAUGGAGCCCGUGGCAUUGAGUGCCGCGACGUUUGGUGGUUGGAAAUCGAGCAUCGCGUCGCGCCCCGUUGCAUACUCGGAUUACUCGAAGGACCCUUAGGCGCAGUAGCCUACCCUUGCGACCCC